UACGUAGGGACCAAGCGUUGUCCGGAAUCAUUGGGCGUAAAGAGCGUGUAGGCGGCUUGUUAAGUCUUGCGUGAAAUCUCGGGGCUCAACCCCGAGCGGUCGUGAGAAACUGGCAGGCUAGAGUGCGGGAGAGGAGAGUGGAAUUCCUGGUGUAGCGGUGGAAUGCGUAGAGAUCCGGAAGAACACCGGUGGCGAAGGCGGUCUGCUGGGCAGUUGCUGACACUGAGGCGCGACAGCGUGGGGAGCAAACAGG
rnacentral:rRNA from 1 species